AAAGAAACCAACAGGGAUUGCCNCAGUAACGGCGAGUGAAGCGGCAACAGCUCAAAUUUGAAAUCUGGCCCUAGGCCCGAGUUGUAAUUUGCAGAGGAUGCUUUGGGCGCGGUGCCUUCCGAGUUCCCUGGAACGGGACGCCAUAGAGGGUGAGAGCCCCGUCUGGUCGGACACCAAGCCUAUGUAAAGCUCCUUCGACGAGUCGAGUAGUUUGGGAAUGCUGCUCAAAAUGGGAGGUAUAUGUCUUCUAAAGCUAAAUACCGGCCAGAGACCGAUAGCGCACAAGUAGAGUGAUCGAAAGAUGAAAAGCACUUUGAAAAGAGAGUUAAACAGCACGUGAAAUUGUUGAAAGGGAAGCGUUCAUGACCAGACUUGGCCCGGUUGAUCAUCCAGCGUUCUCGCUGGUGCACUCUGCCGGUCCAGGCCAGCAUCAGUUCGCCGCGGGGGAUAAAGGUUUCGGGAAUGUGGCUCCCCCGGGAGUGUUAUAGCCCGUUGCGUAAUACCCUGCGGUGGACUGAGGUCCGCGCUCUGCAAGGAUGCUGGCGUAAUGGUCAUCAACGACCCGUCUUGAAACACGGACCAAGGAGUCGUCUUCGUAUGCGAGUGUUCGGGUGUAAAACCCCUACGCGUAAUGAAAGUGAACGGAGGUGGGAGCUUCGGCGCACCAUCGACCGAUCCUGAUGUUCUCGGAUGGAUUUGAGUAAGAGCAUACGGGGCCGGACCCGAAAGAAGGUGAACUAUGCCUGUAUAGGGUGAAGCCAGAGGAAACUCUGGUGGAGGCUCGCAGCGGUUCUGACGUGCAAAUCGAUCGUCAAAUAUGGGCAUGGGGGCGAAAGACUAAUCGAACCUUCUAGUAGCUGGUUUCCGCCGAAGUUUCCCUCAGGAUAGCAGUGUUGAACUCAGUUUUAUGAGGUAAAGCGAAUGAUUAGGGACCCGGGGGCGCUAUAUUGCCUUCAUCCAUUCUCAAACUUUAAAUAUGUAAGAAGCCCUUGUUGCUUAAUUGAACGUGGGCCUUCGAAUGUAUCACC
rnacentral:rRNA from 1 species